ensembl:lncRNA
CUUUUUAGGGCCACACCUGCAGCAUAUGGAGGUUCCCAGACUAGGGGUCUAAUUGGAGCUGUAGCCGCUGACCUAUGCCAGAGCCACAGCAACACGGGAUUCAAGUCGAGUCUACAACCUACACCACAGCUCAUGGCAAUGCUGGAUCCUUAACCCACUGAGUAAGGCCAGGGAUGGACCCCGAAUCCUCACGGAUGCUAGCCAGGUUCAUUAACUGCUAAGCCACCAUGGGUAUUAAACAGGCCUCUCCACACCAGAACAUCAGCACCCUGUUUAGAACUGAAACACUGUGUUCUCAAGUUCUACUCUUGGUAUGUGCCCUGCCUGUCACUCAGCUGGUUCAUUUCUCCACGGCUGGCGCACAUUCCGCCACCCCCUGGGAAUGGGGAGCUCUUCAGAAAGGCGAAUUCCUCCACUUCCUCCCACACACGUGAACUCUGCUCUCCCUUUUCCUCAAAAUAAUGCCUUGUAUAGAGCAGUCCUAUAAUAGUUUUAAAAUAAAUAUAAACAUAACCAAGUUCUACAACUUGUGUUCCCCUAAAAUUCAUACACUGAAACCCUAUCCCACAACCCCAUGUGACUGUGUUUAGGGAGUGGGCUGGUGAAGUGAUGAAAGUUAAAUGAGAUCAUUGGGGUGGGAACUUAAUCUGAUAGGGCUGAGGUUCAUACAAAAAAAGGGAGAGACACCAAAGCUCUGUGUCCAGAAGGUGAGGACAGAGUGAGAAGCAGGCGGCUGUCUGCCAUCCAGGAAGAGGGUUCUCAAACAAAUCGACUGGCACUUUGAGCUUGGGCUUCCUAGACUCCAGAACUGAGAAAGAAAUUUCUGUUGUUUAAGCUUCCUGAUCUGUGGUAUUUAUGAUGGCAGCCAGGGCAGACUAAUACCUCAACCUUUAUGUUUUGCUGGAAAGGUUGAUACCAGCACAUUUUUGUUCCUUGCAUUAACAUGUAAAAUGCUACUAUAGUGUUCUGUUAUAAUAACAAUGGCUAACUUUAGGUGCUAACUCUUAGCCAAGAUCCUUCUAAGCACUCUACUUACCAUCUCUUUUAAUCUUCACAAUGAACCUACAAAGUAGGUACAAAGGUACAGAAAGGUAAAUUGUUAGCCAAAGAAAUUUACAGAGGUGGUGUCCCAUGGAAACCCAAGAAGUAUGUCUCCAGGGCUUCUGCUCUUCACCAAACUUCCUUUUACACCAAAGAAAGACAAUUAAUGCACCUCCAAAAGCUUCUAACGAAGAUAUAUAAAUGCUUUUACAGUUGUUAAAAAAAAUUAACUUGAUCUUGGUAUUUAAGACUGCCUUCCAAAAAAACCCAAGCGAUAAAGACACGCAAGUACAUCACAAUGGGUAAUAUGAAACAGUAAUCUUUCUCAUUCUCCCAUUUAAAAGUAUAAAGUCAGAAUGAUAAAUUAUUGACAAACUAAAUAUUUCUGUUGACCCGAUCAGUGCCCCUCUCUCCCAGGAGAAAAGCUACAAGGAAACUUAGCAGAUGGUCCCCUCUAGUCCAGAGGCAGUAAGCUUGGAGGGUGAGGGCACUUUCUCUCACUAGUUGUAUGACUUUUCUUCAAGUUCUUAGCUUCCUUUGUUCUUUAAAUCAACAAGUAUUUAAGCAGCUCUACUCUAAGAGCUGGGCGUGGCAUAUAGAGUUCUUGGCAAGGGGCAGAUCCGAGUAGCAGUCAGAUCUAAGCCAAAGCUGCAGCAACACCUGAUCCUUAACCCACUGUGCCAGACAGGGGAUCGAACCUGUGACCCAGUGAGCUCCUAAGACACCACAGAGCCCACUGCGCCAAGCAGGAACUCCAAGAUCCUUUUUUUUCCUUCUUUUUUAGCCUCAAGUGUGGCAAAUGAAAGUUCCCAGGCUAGGGGUCUAAUAGGAGCUGUAGCUACAGGUCUACACCACACCCAGGGCAACACGGGAUCCAAGCCCCGUCUGAGACCUAUGCCACAGCUCAUGGCAACCCCGGAUCCCUAACCCACUGAGAGAGGCCAGGUAUCCAACCUGCAUCCUCUCGGAUACCAGUUGGGUUCGGUACUGCUGAGCCACGACUGAAACUCCCAGAUCUUUUUUUGAAUGUAGCUGCCUACACCUAUAAAUUUCCCUUGAGCACUGCUUACCUGCAACCCCCAAGUUUUGGUAUGUUAUAUUUUAUUUAUCUCAAAGUAUUGUCUAAUUUCCCUUUUGAUUUCUUUGACCCAAUGGCUGUUUAAGGGUGUUAUUUAAUUUUGCACAUAUCGGUGGGUUUUCCAGUGUUCCUUCUGCUAUUGAUUUCUUUUCCGUUAAGGUCUGAGAAGACGCGUUGGGUGGUAAUGAACUUGAAAACACUGACUUCUACGUAAUAAAUUAAUGUACCACUUCAUAUAGCUGUAACGAAGAUUAAAGAAUCUGUACGAAGCACUCAGAAGUGACUGGGCAGAGCAAUAAGUGAAUAAAUGGUAGCUAUUACAGGAGAGCCCACUACACUGGAAAAACUGGAAAGCUCAGAGCGCCCCGCCCAGGGGCCUC